rfam:Fukomys damarensis contig135199, whole genome shotgun sequence.
GCCCUCGGCUCAUGAGCGGGGUGAUUGGGUUUUCAUGACAUACACAUGUGAUGUUCCUCCCUCAGACCUUGUUAGGACGUCUGCACAUUAUCCUGAAC